CAGUAGCAAAUACAUUUAUAGAUCAUAUCAGCAGGUAUAUUUGUAUUAUAAAAAUCAAAGGAUGAACAUGCAUAAACCAGUCGAUGAUGAAUUGUAUACUCCAGACUAUUGUAGAGAAUAGGUAUCAACCAUUCAAGGAUGACACAAUGAACACACAGUCUGAAAGAAUAUUUGCGAUGGAACAUAACAGAGCAAAGGGUUGCAUAUGAAUAAAAAAACAUGAUUGCACCC
rnacentral:lncRNA from 1 species